rnacentral:rRNA from 1 species
UACGGAGGGUGCAAGCGUUAUCCGGAUUCACUGGGUUUAAAGGGUGCGUAGGCGGGUUGGUAAGUCCGUGGUGAAAUCCCCAAGCUUAACUUGGGAACUGCCGUGGAUACUAUCAAUCUUGAAUAUCGUGGAGGUAAGCGGAAUAUGUCAUGUAGCGGUGAAAUGCUUAGAUAUGACAUAGAACACCAAUUGCGAAGGCAGCUGGCUACACGAAUAUUGACACUGAGGCACGAAAGCGUGGGGAUCAAACAGG